rnacentral:tRNA from 1 species
AGAAAUAAGUUGAACAAAUUAGAGCUGCUAACUCUAAAUUUUAGCGGUUUAAUCCCGUUUUUAUUUCU